GGAAGGUUCGCAUAAUGGUAUUGCAGUGGUCUUGAAAACCGCCGACCGAAAGGUUAUAAGUGUUCGAGUCACUUACCUUCCG
rnacentral:tRNA from 1 species